rnacentral:rRNA from 1 species
UGGGGAAUAUUGCGCAAUGGACGAAAGUCUGACGCAGCGACGCCGCGUGAGGGAUGAAGGUUUUCGGAUCGUAAACCUCUGUCAGGAGGGAAGAAAGCGCAUGGCGCCAAUCAGCCAUGCGUUGACGGUACCUCCAAAGGAAGCGCCGGCUAACUCCGUGCCAGCAGCCGCGGUAAUACGGAGGGCGCAAGCGUUAAUCGGAAUUACUGGGCGUAAAGCGCGCGUAGGCUGUUGUGUAAGUUGGGGGUGAAAUCCCACGGCUCAACCGUGGAACUGCCCUUGAUACUGCGCGACUUGAAUCCGGGAGAGGGUGGCGGAAUUCCAGGUGUAGGAGUGAAAUCCGUAGAUAUCUGGAGGAACAUCAGUGGCGAAGGCGGCCACCUGGACCGGUAUUGACGCUGAGGCGCGAAAGCGUGGGGAGCAAACAGG